GGACAUAGAUACAAGCUAGCGGCGGAUGGGUGAGUAACGCGUGGGUAACCUGCCCUUAAGUCUGGGAUACCAUUUGGAAACAGAUGCUAAUACCGGAUAAAAGCUACUUUCGCAUGAAAGAAGUUUAAAAGGCGGCGUAAGCUGUCGCUAAAGGAUGGACCUGCGAUGCAUUAGCUAGUUGGUAAGGUAACGGCUUACCAAGGCGAUGAUGCAUAGCCGAGUUGAGAGACUGAUCGGCCACAUUGGGACUGAGACACGGCCCAAACUCCUACGGGAGGCAGCAGUAGGGAAUCUUCCACAAUGGACGCAAGUCUGAUGGAGCAACGCCGCGUGAGUGAAGAAGGUUUUCGGAUCGUAAAGCUCUGUUGUUGGUGAAGAAGGAUAGAGGUAGUAACUGGCCUUUAUUUGACGGUAAUCAACCAGAAAGUCACGGCUAACUACGUGCCAGCAGCCGCGGUAAUACGUAGGUGGCAAGCGUUGUCCGGAUUUAUUGGGCGUAAAGCGAGCGCAGGCGGAUUGAUAAGUCUGAUGUGAAAGCCUUCGGCUCAACCGAAGAACUGCAUCAGAAACUGUCAAUCUUGAGUGCAGAAGAGGAGAGUGGAACUCCAUGUGUAGCGGUGGAAUGCGUAGAUAUAUGGAAGAACACCAGUGGCGAAGGCGGCUCUCUGGUCUGUAACUGACGCUGAGGCUCGA
rnacentral:rRNA from 1 species